GAAUCGCUAGUAAUCGUGGAUCAGAAUGUCACGGUGAAUACGUUCCCGGGCCUUGACACACCGCCCGUCACACCAUGGGAGUGGACUGCACCAGAAGUGGUUAGCUUAACCCUCGGGGGAGCGAUCACCACGGUGUGGUUCAUGACUGGGGUGAAGUCGUAACAAGGUAGCCGUAGGGGAACCUGCGGCUGGAUCACCUCCUUA
rnacentral:rRNA from 1 species